CUCUCUCAUUUCCCAGACUGGUAAACAUAAGAGCCACAUCUAAUGGGCUGCCAUCCCAUGUCCGACUGGGUUGAGAGCGGCUAGCUGAGGUUCAUUGCACGGGGUGCUGAGGCUGAGCAAGGGCUUGUUGUCAGUUUGCACUCAGGCGGAAGCCUCUGAGGUGUCCUUACAAGCCUGGGAUGAAGAUUGGGGAGAGCAGGGGAGGAGCCUGAGGCCAGCUCACACUGGACACCAGCAGAGUGUGGUUCUGACACAGGCCACCCUCAGUCCACCAUGCAGCUAAACCCACUGAGCUCUCUGCACGGAGAACCCUUCGGGGUUUACCACCUUCCUCAUCCUGCUGAACAGGCAUGUUGUGAGAGCUAAGUCCUGCUUUAUAACUGGCACCAGAAAAUGGGGCUUUACUAAGUUGGAGCUUUAUGACAGGUCUGUGUUUUAACUUCUUGUCAGCAGCUUCAUCAGACCCAAAAGGAGUGGGUAACAAGACAGUUUAAAGGCCCGCGAAACCAUUUUAGGAUUCUUUGCAUUAACAUGUUCUAUAGCAGCACCAACCACCAGUGCCAGAUUUACAUUCCAGAAGCUCUUAGCUACUCUUGGCGUAAUUGAACAGGACCAGACAUCCUCCAGGGCGGCAGAAGCCCAUCCGAGUGACAGAUACACAGCUUGGCAUAAUUCGCUCCUGUCAGUCAAACUUGUACAACUACAUAAAAAAGUAAGACCAAAGAAGCCGCCCUUGUCUGUUACUACCACGUGGCCAUCAGACUUUCUCCCGGCAUCCAGAUGGAGGUGACAAGUGUGGAGUGCUCAGGCUGUCUGUUUACUGUUGAUUUUCAACCUGUUGGGUAGGUUGAGGCUCCUGUGCAGAGUCGUUAUGAUGUUCAGAACCUGAAGUCACUUAUUUAAUAAAUAACUCUAUUGGCUAAAACAUGCACUUCCCGAAGUGUUAUCUACUGUGUCUUUUUUCUAAGUCUCAUUCUUUUACCCUCCUGCAGCUCUGAGAAUUGAACCUAGGUCCUCAAACACGCCAGGCAAGUGCUUUACCCCUGAGCUGCAUACUCAGCCCUAAAUCACAC
rnacentral:lncRNA from 1 species